GGACUACCGGGGUAUCUAAUCCUGUUUGCUCCCCACGCUUUCGCACCUCAGCGUCAGUAUUGGUCCAGAAAGUCGCCUUCGCCACUGGUGUUCCUCCCGAUAUCUAUGCAUUUCACCGCUACACCGGGAAUUCCACUUUCCUCUACCAUACUCAAGAUACCCAGUAUCGAGUGCAGUUCCCAGGUUGAGCCCGGGGCUUUCACAUCCGACUUAAAUAUCCGCCUACGCGCGCUUUACGCCCAGUAAUUCCGAUUAACGCUUGCACCCUCUGUAUUACCGCGGCUGCUGGCAC
rnacentral:rRNA from 1 species